ensembl:lncRNA
GGUGAAGCUGCGAUCGAGGGACGAGGAAGUAUACAAUUCAGCGAUUGGCAUUCAUAACUCACCACCCCUGGCCUGACGGACCCCGACUGAUUUCCGGGUCACGUGACUGACGCACACUCCGCGGAGGGGAAGUCGACCGUGGUCUGAACCGACCGUAACUGGAGCAGUAGGCGCGCACUAAAGAUACACGCAGGCCUCGGUUGGGGACCGGUGGCUCACAUGACCGCAGCGGUGCUGCCUCCCUGCGCUCGACCCGCCGUGCAGGUGCCGAGUCCGACGCGGCACAGCGGGGAACAACAGCACUCCGGAGGCGUCGGAUAUUUCCACGUGAUCCGUUGUGACAGAGCGGUUUGAAACUACGUUUUCACACCAAGUAUAGCGGAGGAGUCCAAAUCAAGAGAAGCAGGCCUCUGUGAUUCAUGUGCCUGUCAAGAUGAGUACAGACAGACCCAAACGAAAUAUCAUCAAAAAGAAAUAUGACAUCAGUGACGGGAUGCCUUGGUGUGAAGAACGUCUGGUCCGCAAAGUUCUUUUCCUCUCUCUCAGGGAAUUCAGGGACACGCACCGCGCCAUGCACACACACUCGCACAGACACACACGCGUGUCGGAAAACACGCGCCUACAGCGAAAGACGCAGGCGCUGCCGAAAACCGCGCGGGCAGGACCGAGUGCGCACGCGCCCCAGCAGAGGGCCGCGCGCAGGCCACCGAACACCACAGCUAGCACGCACACCGCAAAACACCCACGAGGCAAAGUGCAAAGAAACAACUCGUCUCAGGACUCGCACACGCCGAAAAGUAAAUGCACUCACCCACUACAGAACAGGCGAACGCAAUCAAAAACGUGCGGCGGGAAAAUGAAGCGCGCCGUCCAGCACGCACACCUACGAGAAAGUACACGCGCCUUCCGGAAGAAUUCGGCAACGACAAGGACGCUGCGCUCGCACAAAAAACAGAAGGCACGGACGCUGCCGAGCUCCAGAUACGCAGAAACCGCCAAACGGGCGCACGCUCCUCAGCAGAAGCACUCCGUGAAAAGCACCUGCGCACCCGGGAACCCGCGGGCGCUGCUGAGCCCCCCCGGCGCCGCCCGGGCGCUGCGGUCACAUGUUCCCACGCGCCUCAAAGGCUCCCGGGUGAACGGCAUCAGCCGCUGUCGCUCCGUCCUGUCGGCGAGCUGGAGCUGGUCUUUACCGGCACGCCCUCAAGAGCGGCGCCAUGCUGGCAUCCAUCGCCUGAAGGCCGCUCCGGUGUGCGUGGAGAAAAGGCCGCGGGUGCAAGCGCAGAGGAAGUUUGCCCAGUCCCCUCCCAGCUCUCCGGGACCAGCAGUUUCGAGGACACCGGCACGAAGCAACCACGUCCACAACCUGUCCGUGGUCACCUGUCUUACCCGACGCCGGCCCAAGACCGAGGACUUCUUGUCCUUCCUCUGUCUGAGAGGUUCAGCGGCGUUGCCUAGCAACAUGUCCUUCUUAGCCAGCGGACGAGCGAAGGAGCCAUCUGGCGCUCAGCAUCUCGCCUCCUGUCGCUCCACCAAUCACAGGACCGCCGCUGAGGGGAAGACCAUGAGCAUGAUCAGUAGAACCACAGCACAGCGAGACUUUAAGUCUCUGCGAAGGAGGCCUGGCGGCUCUGCAGUGGUCACCUCCUUCUGUCCUCCCACUGCCCGCGCACAGAGGAGGCAAGAGAGGGAGAGGAGAGAGGAGGAGGAGGAGCAGCAGCAGCAGCAGAAGAGGAGGCGGGAGGGGACGAAGGAGGACAGAAGAGACGGAGCUGAAAGCCACCUGCUGAGACCUCACCAGCUCUCCCUCCAUGUCAGGAGGACUGACAAGGUUGCCAUGGUGACUGGACUCUGUGAACAAACCACCUUCUGCGUCCGGUCCCUUCCUACAUUACAGCCGAGCCCUGCAAUGGGGAGCAGGCGCCGCCCCAGGCCGUGCAAUCGGCAGGAAGACACCUGUAAACCACAGAUCCAGGACCCCAACAAUAAACACCUCGCCCGGCACAGCAGACACCAGCUGCCCCGCAAUCAGCACCUUCCGCUCCACCAACGUGCCGUCUCCGACUACUAUAGCAACCCCAUGACCUUCGGCAGUCUCCAGAACUCAGGAAGACACUCAGCGAGGACUCCGCCUCUGUGUAACGGCCCGGUUAACAGGACGGUAAGUGAGAAGCCCGGCGUCCUGCGCUCGUCCAGGAGAAGGAGAGGUCUCCCGCCCGACACCACCCUACUGAACGGGGUUCUUUUGGACGGCAGCUCGUCAAAGAAGUGCAGGACAGUGCCACUUGGUGACGGCGAUGUCCCGCCGGGGAGUGAGAUCCCACGGAGGGAAGGCCGCUGCGGCAAAGAUGUGAGUCACGUUGGUGGAAUCCCCCGCAGCCACGAGCGCGAACUGGAAGGAGACGCCUGUGGCCGUGUUGGAGAGACGAGAGCAGAGGGGGACAGUUGCGUUGGUGACGACCAGCGGGGCAGAGCAAAGAUCGAAGAGUUAACUUUGACCAGCGUCUCUGCUCUGGAGCCCUCUGAAGAAAGGGUCUACCCAGCCGACACCGCCGCACACUGUGACCUCGGCCACGUCGGUGAGGAUCCGCACGGACAUGCGAGAGACGAAAGGUGCACUUUGUUCACAACUACUACUGACCCUGGGCCUGUUUCCAGAGCUGCUGCUGCUAGGACUCCCAUGAUUAAAGCUGCUCUCAACUCGGUGACAACUGACCCCCCCGGCCAGUUGUUCUGCCACGCACACUCCAAAGGCUACUGGCAAGAACGCUGCCAAGUGCACUCCACCAGCCAUCAGUUGCUCCAUCCAUGAUUCCAAUGGUGCAGCGAAAGACUCUUCCGAAGGCUCCACUGAGGACCCGAUGGAGGACAGGAGCUGUCCCAGCACUUCCAAGGGCUCCGCGAAGGGCCUCGCCCAGACCAGGUCUACUACCUCAGCCAUUAAGACCAGGACCAGCCCCAGAACUCUUCUGAAGCGCUAACACACCCUCGAGCUUCGCCCGAAAACUUUCCUGAAUUUACUAAAUCAAUUGAUGUUGAAGACUAGUGGGAAGGUUGUAUUUUUUGUUUGUUUUGUUGAAAGCAUUGGAUACUGUUCAUCUCUUCAUGAUAAUGUUUGUUGGCUGGUCAGAUACUGACGCAGUGACUGUGUACUGUUCUUGACAUAAAUGAUGUGGGAUUGUUUAAAAGCUACGUGGGUGAAAUAAAUCAUUUAAAGACGUGGUAUAACGCUGGAGACUGCUGCUUGCAGUGGUUUAGUCCGUUUUCAGAUGCUUCCCUGCUGUGUUUGGAAUAAUAACUUGAUAUUUUUCUAAACCUAAUCCUUAUUAAGAUGGAAAAGGCAGUGUGUGUUUAUAGAAAUACAUUUAAUUAAAGCAAUGAGUUUAACUGUAGAGUUCUACCUGCCAACGCUGUGGUGCUUUUUGGCCGUCUUCGGACAGUCCUUCAUUUAAACAGCAAGCAUCUGGUCAGGAUGGUUUACAUCACCAACAUAAAGGGUUUAUCAAUUAUAAUCCUCACAUUUUUUAUGAAUACAUUUAUUCAAGUCCCCUUUUAACAGUAGUGCUCAUAUGAACAACAGGAAAAGGUUUUAACGCCGGUUUAUCCUGUCCAAUAAAAGUCUUUUCAAAGUCUAUAAUAGUCCAUAAUGGUAGAUGUGUCCCCAUACUGUAUCCCUGAUAUUACUAAAACGUCAGAAGGUUCUAACUAAUAUCAGAUGAUAUUUAUUGGUUUGCU